rnacentral:sRNA from 1 species
CUGCACAUGAUAAACUGGAUCACGAUGAAGACAUUUGAAGAUUGUGUAAACUCUAUCUACUGUA